rnacentral:lncRNA from 1 species
UUUUUUGUAUUUUUAAAAUUUUUUAUUAUUUUUUUAAAAAAAAAAAAAAAAAGCGUACAGCCCCACGGCUAUACUCAGUUUUGAAAUUUUUAUUAAAAAGAAACGUGCUGACACGUGGGCAUAAUGGCUGGGGUUUUUUUUAUUUAAAAAUAGUAUAGCCGCGCGGCUAUACUCUAUUUUGAAUUUUUUUUCAAAGAAAUAUAUGUUGACACGUGGCUCCUAUUGGUUGGGGGACUUUUUUCACAUUUAAAAAUAGUAUAGCCGCACGGCUGUAUUCUUUUUCUUUUUUUAAAAAAUUUUUAUAUAUAACAAAAUAUAGCAGAGGCCGGAGGCGUUACUUUUUUUAUUUUAUAAAUGGAAUUUAAUAUAUAGUAUAGACGAGUGGCUAUAUUCUUUUACAUACGUGUUCAUAUAUAUGUACACACACAUAUGCAGGUACGUAUUUUUCAACAACACAUUCGUGUUCUAUACACGUCUCACGUUUGCUUUAAAAAGCAAACAUACAAUAGUCGUGUUGUACAUGUACGUACGUAUUUCUAAUAUUUUAUACCAGUAUUUUUUACAAAAUUUUCAGUAACACACACAAAUUCACAUAUUAUACCAAUAAUUCUCACGUAUUAUUGAAUAAGAAUAACAUAUGGUAUAAAAAUUAUAUUAAAAAUACCAAAUAGUGGAAUAUUCAUAUCUACUUUGGAUAUGUUGCAAAUUAAUAUCCAUAAGGUACAAACCAAUGCAACUGGGAGGGUCCUUUUUUGUAUUUUUAAAAUUUUUUAUUAUUUAAAAAGAAAAAAAGAAAAAAAAAAGAGUACCGCCGCACGGCUAUACUCAGUUUUGAAAUUUUUAUUAAAAAGAAACGUGUUGACAC